GACGACGCUGGCGGCGUGCCUGACACAUGCAAGUCGAGGGGCAUCACGAGGUAGCAAUACUUUGGUGGCGACCGGCGCACGGGUGAGUAACACGUAUGCAACCUUCCCUGUACAGGGGGAUAACCCGGAGAAAUUCGGACUAAUACCCCAUGAUGAUAUUAUGGGGCAUCCUUUAAUAUUUAAAGCUCUGGCGGUACAGGAUGGGCAUGCGCGACAUUAGCUAGUUGGUAAGGUAACGGCUUACCAAGGCGACGAUGUUUAGGGGACCUGAGAGGGUUGUCCCCCACACUGGUACUGAGACACGGACCAGACUCCUACGGGAGGCAGCAGUGAGGAAUAUUGGUCAAUGGGCGCAAGCCUGAACCAGCCAUCCCGCGUGAAGGAAGAAUGCGCUACGCGUUAGUAAACUUCUUUCCAGGGGGAGAAUAAUCCUGUCGUGACAGGACUUGACGGUACUCUGGGAAUAAGCAUCGGCUAACUCCGUG
rnacentral:rRNA from 1 species